GAUGAAGAACGCAGCGAAAUGCGAUACGUAGUGUGAAUUGCAGAAUUCAGUGAAUCAUCGAAUCUUUGAACGCACAUUGCACCUCUCGGUAUUCCGGGAGGUAUGCCUGUUCGAGCGUCAUUUGUACCCUCAAGCUCUGCUUGGUGUUGGGUGUUUGUUCCGCCUCUGUGUGUGAACUCGCCUCAAAACAAUUGGCAGCCGGCGUACUUGUUUCGGAGCGCAGCACAUUUUGCGAUCCAGAUCAACGUACAGCGGCAUCCAAGAAGCCUUAUUUAACGCUCUUGACCUCGGAUCAGGUAGGGAUACCUGCUGAACUUAAGCAUAUCAAUAAGCGGAGGA
rnacentral:misc_RNA from 1 species